rnacentral:rRNA from 1 species
AUUGAACGCUGGCGGCAUGCCUUACACAUGCAAGUCGAACGGCAGCACGGGAGCAAUCCUGGUGGCGAGUGGCGAACGGGUGAGUAAUAUAUCGGAACGUGCCCAGUCGUGGGGGAUAACGUAGCGAAAGCUACGCUAAUACCGCAUACGAUCUAUGGAUGAAAGCGGGGGGAUCGCAAGACCUCGCGCGAUUGGAGCGGCCGAUAUCAGAUUAGGUAGUUGGUGAGGUAAAGGCUCACCAAGCCGACGAUCUGUAGCUGGUCUGAGAGGACGACCAGCCACACUGGGACUGAGACACGGCCCAGACUCCUACGGGAGGCAGCAGUGGGGGAAUUUUUGGGACAAUGGGCGCAAGCCUGAUCCAGCAAUGCCGCGUGCAGGAUGAAGGCC